rnacentral:rRNA from 1 species
CAGAGGGUGCGAGCGUUAAUCGGAAUUACUGGGCGUAAAGCGCGCGUAGGCGGCUUUGCAAGUCGGGUGUGAAAUCCCCAGGCUUAACCUGGGAACUGCAUUCGAGACUGCAUUGCUAGAGUAUGGGAGAGGGAAGUGGAAUUUCCGGUGUAGCGGUGAAAUGCGUAGAUAUCGGAAGGAACAUCAGUGGCGAAAGCGACUUCCUGGACCAAUACUGACGCUCAUGUGCGAAAGCGUGGGGAGCAAACAGGAUUAGAUACCCUGGUAGUCCACGCCAUAAACGAUGAGAACUGGAUGUCGGGAGGGUCUGCCGCUCGGUGUCGUAGCUAACGCGUUAAGUUCUCCGCCUGGGGAGUACGGCCGCAAGGUUG